rnacentral:rRNA from 1 species
UUCCGGUUGAUCCUGCCGGACCCGACUGCUAUUUGGGUGAGGAUAAGCCAUGCGAGUUGAAUGGGAAACCUAAAGUUCCCAUGGCAAACUGCUCAGUAACACAUGAUCAACUUACCCUAUAGAGAAAAAUAACCUCGGGAAACUGAGGAUAAUGUUUCAUAGUUGAAUUGGCUUGGAAAAGUUUUUCGACGAAAGGGGUAAAAAAAAUGGUUUUUAUCUGCUAUAGGAUAGGAUCGUGUUCGAUUAUGGUUGUUGGUGAGGUAAUGGCUCACCAAGCCGAUAAUCGAUAGGGGCCGUGAGAGCGGGAGCCCCGAGAUGGGUACUGAGACAACGACCCAGGCCUUACGAGGCGCAGCAGGCGCGGAACCUCCGCAAUACACGAAAGUGUGACGGGGUUACCCAAAGUGUUCAUUAUUGAACUGUGGUAGGUGAGUAAUGUUCCCUACUAGAAAGGAGAGGGCAAGGCUGGUGCCAGCCGCCGCGGUAAAACCAGCUCUUCAAGUGGUCGGGAUAAUUAUUGGGCUUAAAGUGUCCGUAGCUGGUUUAGUAAGUUCCUGGUAAAAUCGGGUAGCUUAACUAUCCGUAUGCUAGGAAUACUGCUAUACUAGAGGGCGGGAGAGGUCUGAGGUACUACAGGGGUAGGGGUGAAAUCUUAUAAUCCUUGUAGGACCACCAGUGGCGAAGGCGUCAGACUGGAACGCGCCUGACAGUGAGGGACGAAAGCCAGGGGAGCGAACCGGAUUAGAUACCCGGGUAGUCCUGGCCGUAAACGAUGCAUACUAGGUGAUGGUACGGCCAUGAGCCGUAUCAGUGCCGUAGGGAAACCGUUAAGUGUGCCGCCUGGGAAGUACGGUCGCAAGGCUAAAACUUAAAGGAAUUGGCGGGGGAGCACCACAAGGGGUGAAGCCUGCGGUUCAAUUGGACUCAACGCCGGU